ACAAGUACCGUGAGGGAAAGUUGCAAAGCAUUUUGAAGAGAGAGUUAAAGAGGACGUGAAACCGAUGAGGUGGAAACGGACAGAGCUGGCGUAUCUGGCCUGUAUUCAGCCGCUCGUUGUCGGCCCACCGUUGCUGCACUCCCCAUUGGGAAAGCGGCGUGGGCGCUGGCUGCGUGUGGUGCAUUUGCAUGUGGAGUGCGCCCAGGCGCUCGGCUCAGCGGCCUGAACUCACCUUUGAGGCCAACCGUGCAAACGGUCUGGUACCCGGGCUGGGGGAGUGUUGUUUGGGCUGGGUGUUUGCUUUUGGCUGUGGUUUCGGGCUUGGUUGGGUGCCGCGCUGGGUGUCGGUGUGGGUCGCUUGCGACACGUAUCGGCACACAGUUCGGUCCCGCUCCAACUCUCACUGUGGCCUAUCCUCGGCGUAAAAGCUGGUCAUCUUUCCGACCCGUCUUGAAACACGGACCAAGGAGUUUAUCGUGUGCGCGAGUCAUUGGGCGUUCAAAACCCAAAGGCGCAAUGAAAGUGAACGUAUCCCCUAGGCAGCCAACAUGCGAUCCUGGUCACCACGGUGGCCGGGCGCACCAUGGCCCCCUCCCCACUGCUUGCAGUGGGGUGGAGGAAGAACGUACACGGUGAGACCCCAAAGAUGGGGAAAUAUUUCCGAGCAAGAUGAACCCCGAGGAAACUCUGGUGGAAAUCCCAAACGAAUCUGACGUGCAUCCCUAUCGUCUGACUUGGGUAUGGGGGCAAAAGACUAAUCGAACCAUCUAGUAGCUGGUUCCUUCCGA
rnacentral:rRNA from 1 species